rnacentral:rRNA from 1 species
ACGAAGGGGGCUAGCGUUGUUCGGAAUUACUGGGCGUAAAGCGCACGUAGGCGGACUUUUAAGUCAGGUGUGAAAUCCCGGGGCUCAACCUCGGAACUGCAUUUGAAACUGGGAGUCUUGAGACCAGGAGAGGUUAGCGGAAUACCGAGUGUAGAGGUGAAAUUCGUAGAUAUUCGGUGGAACACCAGUGGCGAAGGCGGCUAACUGGACUGGUACUGACGCUGAGGUGCGAAAGUGUGGGGAGCAAACAG